AGUUUUAAGACAACAUCUGCUCAAGACACAAGUUCUGUGGAGGAACAAGAAACAUCUACAUCAUCAUUACUUGUGCUGUGAGUCAGUGAAGGACGAUGGCAUCUGUUUUCGAGCUGCUUCUAAACUCACUGAAGGAUCUGGGAAAAGAAGAGCUAAAGGCAUUUCAAUGGCACUUAAAGAAAAAUCAUAAAGAUAUAUCAAAUUCUGAAAUGGAGGAUGCAGAUAGGUUUAAAACAGUGGAUAUAGUGGUGAACUUUUUUGGAGAAGAAGCAGCAGUGAAGAACACGGUGGUGAUCCUGAGGAAGAUGAACAAGAAUAAUCAGGCUAAGAAUCUGGAGGAAAAUCACAAAAAAGGAGUGAUGUAGUGCUGGAGUCCUGGAGUUGAUAUCUGGAAUCUGAUAUCGACAGUUUAACACCAGCCUGAUUGAUCCAGAACAGCUGAAUUCCCUCAGAACGGAUCCAAUCAUCACAAGAGACUCCAGCAUAUGAUUACAACUGAUAGGAGAGAGUCACAGAGCGGCCUGCACUGAUCUCAGUCUGUGAGGAUGAGGAUGAUGAUGAAGAGACUGGAACACAAAAUAACACACAAAUCAUAGACUUUUCAAUCAUAAUGAGAGUUUAAAUGAAGAAAUUGCCCUUUUUAAAUUAAUUACAUAAUUGUAAAAUUAUCAUCAUCAGAGCAUCAGUUCCUUGUUUUGGUCUUGUCCAUUCAAAUCUGUCCAUUGUUGGCAGAAGUAUAAAUCUAUAGUCUUCCUUUGUGAUGUUUUUCAUGUUCAGAAAGCAGUCAGACCCCAGAUUCAGUCUCAUGUCUCUCUGUGUCAUUCUUCUUAUAUUAAUAAAUGAAAACAAAGCAUACCAGACUCCUAAUAUGGAAAUAAUUUUAGCAUCAGUAUGUUCUGUAUGUAACAAUAUUAAACUG